rnacentral:rRNA from 1 species
AAUCAACGCUGGCGGCGUGCCUCAGACAUGCAAGUCGAACGCGAAAGUUUCCUUCGGGAGACAAGUAGAGUGGCGCACGGGUGAGUAACACGUAGGUAAUCUACCUUUGGAUGGGGAAUAACAACCGGAAACGGUUGCUAAUACCGCAUAAUGCAGCGGCACCUAAUGGUGACAGUUGUUAAAGCGGGGGAGUCGAAAGACCUCGCGUCUGAAGAGGAGCCUGCGGCGGAUUAGCAGUUGGUAAGGUAAUGGCUUACCAAGGCUACGAUCCGUAACCGGCCUGAGAGGGGCGGGUCGGUCACACUGACACUGACAUACGGGUC